AUUGAACGCUGGCGGCGUGCCUAACACAUGCAAGUCGAGCGGUAACAGGUGUAGCAAUACAUGCUGACGAGCGGCGGACGGGUGAGCAAUAUUUGGGAAUCUGCCUAUUAGUGGGGGAUAACCCGGGGAAACUCGGGCUAAUACCGCAUACGCACUACGGUGGAAAGCCGGGGACCGCAAGGCCUGGCGCUAAUAGAUGAGCCCAAAUCGGAUUAGCUAGUUGGGGAGGUAACGGCUCACCAAGGCGACGAUCCGUAGCUGGUUUGAGAGAACGACCAGCCACACCGGAACUGAGACACGGUCCGGACUCCUACGGGAGGCAGCAGUGGGGAAUAUUGGACAAUGGGCGAAAGCCUGCUCCAGCGACGCCGCGUGGGUGAAGAAGGCCUGCGGGUUGUAAAGCCCUUUCGGUUGGGAAGAAAAGUAUUGACCUAACACGUCAGUACCUUGACGUAACCAACAAAAGAAGCACCGGCUAACUCUGUGCCAGCAGCCGCCGUAA
rnacentral:rRNA from 1 species